CUAAAUUUCCAUUUGGACCGGAGCCUCGUCCUUCUUCAGAAAUUCUGGUACACAUAAAAUUCUCAACAAGUCCCUGGCUGCUGGCCUGAUUUGCCGUUCGUCUGCUCCGGUGGGAGCGUGAUUCUUAUUUGUCAAGAAGAAGGAUUCCACCCUCCGACCCUGUAUCGACUACAGAGGAUUAAACAACAUCACAGUAAGAAAUGCAUACUCACUACCGCUAAUGGAUUCUGUGAUUGAACCCCUGUGCAACGCUACAGUAUUUAGCAAACUGGACUUACAUAAUGCUUAUCAUCUCGUCCCCAUCAAAGCAGGCGAUGACUGGAAAACCGAGACAUGCUUAAUCAGUUCAUCUAUGUGUACCUGGAUGGUAUUCUCAUUUUUUCCCAGAACCUGGAGGAUCAUCUGAGACAUGUCAGGCUGGUAUUAUGUCUACUGGAGAACCAACUGUUCGUUAAGGCAGAGAAAUGCGAGUUUCACGUGUCCUCUGAAGUUUCUGGGUUUCAUCAUUCAGCAGGGAGAACUCAAACCAGACGACAGUAAGAUAAAGGCAGUAACCGAUUGGCCUCUACCUACCUCCCGCAAACAGCUCCAGCGGUUUUUAGGUUUUGACAACUUUUAUCGUAGGUUUAUCAGGAACUACAGUAAAGUAGCAGCACCUCUCACCAGCCUCACGUCUCCGGCCAAGCCUUUCCUGUGGAGUUCUGUGGCAGAUGAGGCCUUUUCCAACCUCAAGUGGCUCUUCUCAUCGGCUCCUGUGUUGGCUCAUCCCGAUCCCGAGUUCCCCUUCAUCGUGGAGGUCGACGCAUCCGACUCUGGUGUGGGAGCUGUUCUGUCUCAAAGAAACCAGUCUGAAGGUAAAUUACGUCCGUGCGCUUUCUUCUCCAGACGACUGUCCCAGACGGAGAGGAAUUAUGAUGUAGGAGACCGUGAACUGCUGGCUGUGGUGAUGGUGCUGCAGGAAUGGAGACACUGGUUGGAAGGAUCAUUUCAUCCAUUUGUGGUAUUUACGGAUCAUAAAAAUCUAGCAUACCUAAGAACGGCAAAAAGGUUGAACUCUCGCCAGGCACUUUGUUUUUAGGCAGGUUUGACUUCACCCUGACGUACAGCCCGGGUUCUAAGAAUACCAAGCCUGAUUCCCUGUCACGCCAGUUUCAAACCACCGAAACCAGCCCAGAGAUUGGGACGGUGUUGCCGUCGGCCUGUGUGGUGGGUGCAGCCACGUGGGAUGUUGAAACUGCUGUCAGGGAGUCUCUCUUGACCCAGCCUAGUCCCGAGAGUGUUCCUGCUGACAGAUUAUUUGUUCCAGACGCUGUCCGAUCCCGUGUCCUGCAGUGGGGCCACGAAUCAAAACUUACCUGUCAUCCUGGUUUUCAUAGGACCCUUUUCUCAAACAGCGAUUCUGGUGGCCCACUAAGUCGGCGUAUACCAAGGCUUUUGUGGCAGUGUACCCAGUCUGUGCUCGUGGCAAAGCCUCCCAUCGUCCUCCAGUGGGCCUGCUUCAUCCUCUCCCGGUGCCCAGCAGACCCUGGUCGCAUAUUGCAGUGGACUUUGUGACUGGACUACCUCUUUCGGAGGGUAACACUGUGGUAUUGACUAUCGUAGAUCGCUUUUCCAAGGCUGGUAACUUUAUCCCUCUGACAAAACUUCCAUCAGCUACGGAGACGGCGGACCUCAUGAUUCAACAUGUCUUCCUUGUUCAUGGCAUUCCUGUGGAUGUGGUGUCUGACAGGGGUUCCCAGUUUUCGUCUGCUGUUUGGAAGGCCUUUUGUGAGUCGUUGGGGGCCUCCGUCAGUCUCUCGUCGGGAUACCACCCGCAAAGUAAUGCUCAAACGGAACGCGCCAACCAGAGCCUGGAGGCCGCACUUCAGUGUGUUUCGGCCUGCGACCCAGGUGCUUGGUCUUCUCAGCUGCCGUGGGUGGAGUAUGCCCACAACUCGCUCCCCAGUUCUGCUACGGGUAGGUCGCCGUUCCUUGUGAUGUACAGUUAUCAACCUCCAUUGUUCCUGGAACAGGAGAGAGAGGUGUCCGUCCCAUCAGUCACUGUCGGCAGUUAUGGCGGGAUGCCCUUGCCGCGCUGGAGGAGGCGGGUGGACACAUGCGGCGAGGGGCGGAGAAGCGUCGCAUCCCGGCUCUGGAAUACACUGCUGGCAUGGAGGUUUGGCUGUCGUCGCGUAAUCUUCCGUUGCAAGCGGAAUCUCAGAAGCUGGCUCCUCGUUUUGUGGGUCCUAAUGUUGUGGACAAAGUUAUUAAUGCCUCCGCUGUCCGGCAGCGUUUGCCACCUUCCAUGGGCAUUCACCCGGUGUUCCAUGUUUCCCUGCUGAAGCCUGUCUCCACGUGUGCGUUGAGCCCUCCGGCUGACUCGGAGGGGGGGGGGGGGGGUUCUGUCAGGUUCCUGUGUGUUUGGGGAAACAUGAUAUUGGUUGGAGUCUGGCUGUUUUUCUUCUGUGCUUGUGUGUGCUUGGUAGGUGCAGGUGGGCGUGGCUGUGCAGGGGUUGGUCCCUCGUUCGGCGCAGCUGCUGUUGAUCAGCUCAUCAACCACCUGUAUAAGAACUUCCAGCCUGCGCCAGAUUGUUCUUCAUCCUCUCGUGUUGGAUACCUUGGACUCUGCACUGCCUUCUCACCCGCCUGCCACACCACAGCCGAAGACCAAUACUUAAUGAAUCAUCCUCCCAGAACUGGGAUCGCCUUUUGUCAAGACUCAAUCAUUAAAUCCUUAUUUUAUUUUUA